AAAAGGAGUUUCAGAUUUAGAAGACAUGAAGUGGUGAAUGUUGUGUAUGUCAGUCUGUGCCUGGAGAGCUCUCAGCAUGAUGAAAUGCUACUGCACUGAACUAUGAGGAGCAAACCUUCCCAGAAGAGAAGACUAAAGGGGAAGUUUAUUUCAAGUCUUUGAAAACUUGUUCCCCAUAUCAUCCAACUGAAAGUCUUGCCCAGGGAACUCUACUCCUGGUACCAGACAUGGUUGCUCUUCACUUGCUGGUCAUGUCUGGUUAGGCGGAUUCAACCUUAACCUAGAGUGUCCAUUCUCAACCUGUGGGUUGUGAUCUCAUUGGCAAACCACUACCUGCAAUAACAUAUACAUUAUGAUUCAUAAGAGAAAUGGCUUCACGGAUGCUUCUCACCUUAUUUGUUCAGUGGAACUCACACACUGCCCAAGCCUGUCUAUGGUCCUCCAAGAAGACUCCAGUUCCCUUCUCUUCUCUCAGGCCCCUGGGACAUGCAGUACCCUGAAGCCUGGCCUGGUGUCACAACAGAACCACGGUGAAUGCUUGCCCGUGUCUUCAGUUAUAGGGUGAUUCAUUCAGCCAAUGUCUCCAGUCCUAGUAAACUUUGCUGCGACCUGCUUGGAGGUUUUCAUUCUGACAUAAUUCUGGAAUUAUCUUUUUCUUCAUAAAGACAGUCAUUACUAUCAGAAAAGAAAU
rnacentral:lncRNA from 1 species